AAGGUUGAUGAAGAAGAUGUCGUCUCUCACAUCUUUGCCGGAUUGGAUGAGGAGUUCGACCCAGUGGUCUCGGCCAUGUGCUCCAGGGUCGAACCGGUCACGGUUCCGGAGCUGUACUCACAGCUGCUGAGCUUCGAGG
rfam:Triticum aestivum genome assembly, contig: Triticum_aestivum_CS42_TGACv1_scaffold_179358_2DS